UACGGAGGGGGCGAGCGUUAUUCGGAAUUAUUGGGCGUAAAGGGCGCGUAGGCGGCUGUACAAGUCAAAGGUGAAAUCCCUCGGCUCAACUGAGGAACUGCCUUUGAAACUGUACGGCUUGAGGCCGGGAGGGGGUAGCGGAAUUCCCAAUGUAGCGGUGAAAUGCGUAGAUAUUGGGAGGAACACCAGUGGCGAAGGCGGCUACCUGGACCGGUUCUGACGCUGAGGUGCGAAAGCGUGGGGAGCAAACAGG
rnacentral:rRNA from 1 species